CACUAUCGUUAACUGAAUACAUAGGUUAACGAGGCGAACCGGGGGAACUGAAACAUCUAAGUACCCCGAGGAAAAGAAAUCAACCGAGAUUCCCCCAGUAGCGGCGAGCGAACGGGGAGCAGCCCAGAGUCUGAAUCAGCUUGUGUGUUAGUGGAACGGUCUGGAAAGUCCGACGGUACAGGGUGAUAGUCCCGUACACCAAAAUGCACAGGUUGUGAACUCGAAGAGUAGGGCGGGACACGUGGUAUCCUGUCUGAAUAUGGGGGGACCAUCCUCCAAGGCUAAAUACUCCUGACUGACCGAUAGUGAACCAGUACCGUGAGGGAAAGGCGAAAAGAACCCCGGCGAGGGGAGUGAAAAAGAACCUGAAACCGUGUACGUACAAGCAGUGGGAGCACCUUCGGGUGUGACUGCGUACCUUUUGUAUAAUGGGUCAGCGACUUAUAUUCUGUAGCAAGGUUAACCGUAUAGGGGAGCCGCAGGGAAACCGAGUCUUAACUGGGCGUUAAGUUGCAGGGUAUAGACCCGAAACCCGGUGAUCUAGCCAUGGGCAGGUUGAAGGUUGGGUAACACUAACUGGAGGACCGAACCGACUAAUGUUGAAAAAUUAGCGGAUGACUUGUGGCUGGGGGUGAAAGGCCAAUCAAACCGGGAGAUAGCUGGUUCUCCCCGAAAGCUAUUUAGGUAGCGCCUCGUGAAUUCAUCUUCGGGGGUAGAGCACUGUUUCGGCUAGGGGGUCAUCCCGACUUACCAACCCGAUGCAAACUACGAAUACCGAAGAAUGUUAUCACGGGAGACACACGGCGGGUGCUAACGUCCGUCGUGAAGAGGGAAACAACCCAGACCGCCAGCUAAGGUCCCAAAGUCAUGGUUAAGUGGGAAACGAUGUGGGAAGGCACAGACAGCCAGGAUGUUGGCUUAGAAGCAGCCAUCAUUUAAAGAAAGCGUAAUAGCUCACUGGUCGAGUCGGCCUGCGCGGAAGAUGUAACGGGGCUAAACCAUGCACCGAAGCUGCGGCAGCGACACUAUGUGUUGUUGGGUAGGGGAGCGUUCUGUAAGCCUGCGAAGGUGUGCUGUGAGGCAUGCUGGAGGUAUCAGAAGUGCGAAUGCUGACAUAAGUAACGAUAAAGCGGGUGAAAAGCCCGCUCGCCGGAAGACCAAGGGUUCCUGUCCAACGUUAAUCGGGGCAGGGUGAGUCGACCCCUAAGGC
rnacentral:rRNA from 1 species